UGACACAAAAAUUAAAAAAUAGCUAUUUAUGUAAUAAGUACAUAAUGCAGGUCUUUAUUGGACGAGCCCUAAGUUUAUGGACGAGCGAGCUUGCGAGCGAGUCUCAUAAAUAGGACAAGUCCAAAAAGCCUAAUUAUGUACGAAUUGCAUACAAAGCUUUAUGUUCGACUGCCGAAAUUGGUUUAUUAAUGAAUUUAAUAAACUUCAAUAAAUUAAUAAAUUUUAAUGAAACGCACCAAGUGUGCUUUUUCGGUUGUUUGGUUACGGAAUUGUUUAUUAUUUUUGUGAUGUGAAAAUUGUGUUUGAAAGCAAAAUGCAAACGUGCAGUUCAAAUAAAGAAGAAACUUGCAGCGAAAUAUCAAAUAUUGCUGCUGAUGCGAAAGAUUCUCUGUUACCAUCAAAAUCCAAGCAUUUGUACGAAGAAACAUAUAAUGUAGACGUCAAGAGCUAGUGACAUUAACGACAACAUGUGUUCAAGACUGCAAAACCCAUUUUUUAAUUAAGCUGGAAGACACCAAAACCAAAGUGGAUCGAUGUUUUAUAAUAACAGCAGGUAAACUCAAAAAUGUUAAUCUACUUGAACUUGUCAGAAGAUAUAUGGAAAUUCGACCCACCAAGACACCGCACAACAGAUUUUUUAUCAACUACACCAAGGAAAAAUGUACCAUUCAACCAGUUGGAAUCCACAAAAUUGGGGGUGUGCCUGCUAUAGUGGCCAAACGUAGCUCAGCUUCUCUUCUGGCAAAUGCAGGGGCCACUAUGGAAAGGAUAAAAAGACACGGAGGUUGGCGUUCAACUACAGUGGCAGAAGGUUAUAUCGAAGAAUGUGAAAAUACUAAAAUUAAGGUUGCAAACUUGAUCUUGGGUGAAGAACCAUUGGCCUGCAAUAGCAUUUCUUCGGAAAAUCACGAAAAAUUUACAAGUUUGCGUGGAACCGAGGAAGUUGUAGGAAUGAAUAUUUGUGGCAACAAUAAUAGUGUUAUAAAUGUAAAUCAUUAUUACAACAAGCAAUAGUAUGUUUAUAUGGUUACAAUGUUACAAAGUUGAUAUGUAUGUAUUAUUAUAACUUCAAAUAAAUUUUGACAUUUCUGAAAAUAAA